AAGUGUAUAUUAUAAAUAUUUAAGUUAUCCAUCCAUCCAUCCAUUUUCCAACCCGUAUAUGCAAAAUGCCGUCACACUAAUAUUGAUAACACAUGCCUACUUUAAGAAGUUGUGCUUAUAUUCUGCUUACAUCAAGAUUUUCUUACUCUACCUAAAUAUCAGCACAUAUUGGAUAUUUACAUUUGUAUGUGUAAGACUUGUUUGUUUGUUUUUGUUACAGUAACAUGACAAAACGAAUAUCUUCAGGCACAUGGAUACUAAUUAAAACAAGGUUAGUUUAUAGGAAUGUCAUUGAGAGGACUACAAGUAAUGGACAUUCUUUUGUAACUUGCAGUAGGUGAUAUGAAUCCAUUUCAAUUUCAGAAUCUUCCACAGCAGUUGGUUGGGUCAGUGGAUUGUGGAGUAUUCAUGUUGAUGUAUGCUCUGCACCUUGUCUUGGAUGCGCCAUUUGACUUCACAGCUGACAAAGGCGUUCACUAAAGGGGCACUGGAGAGUGUGAAUGAGACCCAGAGCAGUGAGGAGGUAUAUACUGUAUGUAAUAUCUAAUAUUAUUUAAAUAGGCAUGUAGAAAUACAUGUUUUGUUUAAUUCUCUUUGUGGUCUUUAUCU